CUGAUGCAGCCAUGCCGCGUGAGUGAUGAAGGCCUUCGGGUUGUAAAGCUCUUUCAUUAGUGAAGAUGAUGACGGUAACUACAGAAGAAGCUCCGGCUAACUUCGUGCCAGCAGCCGCGGUAAUACGAAGGGGGCGAGCGUUGUUCGGAAUCACUGGGCUUAAAGCGUACGUAGGCGGAUUUGCAAGUCAGGAGUGAAAUCCCGGGGCUCAACCCCGGAACUGCUUUUGAAACUGCAAGUCUAGAGUCCCGGAGAGGUUGGCGGAAUUCCGAGUGUAGAGGUGAAAUUCGUUUAUAUUCGGAGGAACACCAUUGGCGUAGGCGGCCAACUGGACGGGAACUGACGCUGAGGUACGAAAGCGUGGGGAGCAAACAGGAUUAGAUACCCUGGUAGUCCACGCUGUAAACGAUGUGUGCUAGUUGUCGGGACUUAGGUCCCGGUGACGGAGAGAAAUCAUUAAGCACACCGCCUGGGGAGUACGGUCGCAAGAUUAAAACUCA
rnacentral:rRNA from 1 species